rnacentral:rRNA from 1 species
AAAGACCUUAUGCGUUUGGAGCGGCCGAUGUCUGAUUAGCUAGUUGGUAAGGUAAUGGCUUACCAAGGCGACGAUCAGUAGUUGGUCUGAGAGGACGGCCAGCCACACUGGGACUGAGACACGGCCCAGACUCCUACGGGAGGCAGCAGUGGGGAAUUUUGGACAAUGGGCGCAAGCCUGAUCCAGCAAUGCCGCGUGAGUGAAGAAGGCCUUCGGGUUGUAAAGCUCUUCCAGUCGAAAAGAAAAGGUUAUGACUAAUAAUCAUGACUCAUGACGGUAUCGCCAGAAGAAGCNCCGGCUAACUACGUGCCAGCAGCCGCGGUAAUACGUAGGGUGCGAGCGUUAAUCGGAAUUACUGGGCGUAAAGGGUGCNCAGGCGGUUCUGUAAGUCAGAUGUGAAAUCCCCGG